rnacentral:snRNA from 1 species
AUACAUUUCUCGGCCUUUUGACUAAGAUAAAGUACAAUAUCUACAGUUAGUAUCUAGUAUGUGGGCUAUAUUUCCACUUUAAUUUUAAAUUCAUUUUUUGUAGGGAGGGUCUGUCACACUGGUUUGCCAUGGGCCCACACACGUCAUACAAUUGUUGCACUAUACGAUUGGUGUGGCGUCACAACA